rnacentral:rRNA from 1 species
UUGAACGCUGGCGGUAUGCUUUACACAUGCAAGUCGAACGGGCUAUGGGGCUUGCUCCAUAGUUAGUGGCGAACGGGUGAGUAAUAUAUCGGAACAUAUCCGGAAGUGGGGGAUAACGUAGCGAAAGUUACGCUAAUACCGCAUACGCCCUGAGGGGGAAAGCGGGGGAUCGCAAGACCUCGCGUGAUUGGAGCGGCCGAUGUCGGAUUAGCUAGUUGGUGGGGUAAAGGCCUACCAAGGCGACGAUCCGUAGCGGGUCUGAGAGGAUGAUCCGCCACACUGGGACUGAGACACGGCCCAGACUCCUACGGGAGGCAGCAGUGGGGAAUUUUGGACAAUGGGGGCAACCCUGAUCCAGCCAUGCCGCGUGAGUGAAGAAGGCCUUCGGGUUGUAAAGCUCUUUCAGACGGAAAGAAAUCGGGUGGGUGAAUAGCCUGCCUGGAUGACGGUACUGUCAGAAGAAGCACCGGCUAACUACGU